rnacentral:rRNA from 1 species
AAGCAGGGGAUCGUAAGACCUUGCGCUUUUGGAGCGGCCGAUGUCUGAUUAGCUAGUUGGUGGGGUAAUGGCCUACCAAGGCUACGAUCAGUAGCUGGUCUGAGAGGACGGCCAGCCACACUGGGACUGAGACACGGCCCAGACUCCUACGGGAGGCAGCAGUGGGGAAUUUUGGACAAUGGGCGCAAGCCUGAUCCAGCCAUGCCGCGUGAGUGAAGAAGGCCUUCGGGUUGUAAAGCUCUUUCAGCCGGGAAGAAAAGGUUGCGACUAAUAAUCGCAAUUCAUGACGGUACCGAAAGAAGAAGCACCGGCUAACUACGUGCCAGCAGCCGCGGUAAUACGUAGGGUGCGAGCGUUAAUCGGAAUUACUGGGCGUAAAGGGUGCGCAGGCGGUUUUGUAAGUCAGAUGUGAAAUCCCCGGGCUUAACCUGGGAACUGCGUUUGAAACUACAAAGCUUAG